CUGUUCAUUUCAGCAGCAUAUAUACUCAAAUUGGAAUGAUGCAGAGAAGAUUAGCAUGUCCCCUGCACAGGAUGACACGCGAAUUCAUGAAGCAUUCCAUAUUUUU